rnacentral:lncRNA from 1 species
GUCACCAUGAAAGUGACAUCUAACCUCCUAACAAACUCUAACCUCUGAUCUAUACAAACACUGCUAUGCUAACUACUGAUAUUACAUAUUAAUUCAUAAAGCAAACAUAAACUGCUGCCGCAUCCUUCCACUGCUGUGAACCCAGCAGUACUUGUCAUGAUCAGCAGUGCUUGAACCAAGGCAGUAGAUUGAGCAGCAGAGCUUUAGUUCUUCAAUCAGACUUUGACUUGAUCAGCAGUUGUAGGAAGUGAUGGUGGAGAUGUUGUUUUUGGUGGAGGUCAGCAGAUGUUGAAACUACUUUCAAGGGGAGAGACUUGCAACCAAACAUCUGCUUAUUCUGGAUCCACUGCUUUGAUCCAGUUUUGGCUU